rnacentral:rRNA from 1 species
GACAGAGGAUGCAAGCGUUAUCCGGAAUGAUUGGGCGUAAAGCGUCUGUAGGUGGCUUUUCAAGUCCGCCGUCAAAUCCCAGGGCUCAACCCUGGACAGGCGGUGGAAACUACCAAGCUGGAGUACGGUAGGGGCAGAGGGAAUUUCCGGUGGAGCGGUGAAAUGCGUAGAUAUCGCUUGGAACGCCGAAGGUGAAAACAGGCUGCUGGGGUUGCGCCGACGCUGAGACACGAAAGCCAGGGGAGCAAACGGG